rnacentral:tRNA from 10 species
UGGACAGAAAAUAGUUUAGUUUUAGAAUUCUGGCUUUGGGAGCCAGGGGUGGGAGUUAAAAUCUCCCUUUUCUGGG